rnacentral:rRNA from 1 species
UACCUGCAGCUCGAGUGGUAACCGCUAUUAUUGGGCCUAAAGCGUCCGUAGCCGGUUUGGUAAAUAUCUGGGUAAAUCGUGAGGCUUAACUUCACGAAUUUCGGAUAGACUGCCAGACUUGGGAUCGGGGGAGGUCAGAGGUACUCCAGGGGUAGCGGUGAAAUGUUGUAAUCCUUGGAGGACCACCGGUAGCGAAGGCGUCUGACUAGAACGAGUCCGACGGUGAGGGACGAAGCCCUGGGGCGCAAACCGGAUUAGAUACCCGGGUAGUCCAGGGUGUAAACAAUGUGGGCUUUGUAUUGGAGGUCCCACGUGGGCGUCCAGUGCAGAAGAGAAAGUUGUUAAAGCCCACCGCCUGGGAAGUACGGUCGCAAGGCUGAAACUUAAAGGAAUUGGCGGGGAGCACAGCAACGGGAGGAGCGUGCGGUUU